UACGGAAGGCAGCAGUGGGGAAUAUUGCACAAUGGGCGCAAGCCUGAUGCAGCCAUGCCGCGUGUAUGAAGAAGGCCUUCGGGUUGUAAAGUACUUUCAGUCGUGAGGAAGGUGUUAAGGUUAAUAACCUUAGCAAUUGACGUUAGCGACAGAAGAAGCACCGGCUAACUCCGUGCCAGCAGCCGCGGUAAUACGGAGGGUGCGAGCGUUAAUCGGAAUUACUGGGCGUAAAGGGCACGCAGGCGGUUAAUUAAGUUGGAUGUGAAAUCCCCGGGCUUAACCUGGGAAUGGCAUUCAAGACUGGUUAGCUAGAGUCCUGUAGAGGGGGUAGAAUUCCGAUGUGUAGCGGUGAAAUGCGUAGAGAUGUGGAGGAAUACCGGUGGCGAAGGCGGCCCCUGGACAAAGGCUGACGCUCAUGUGCGAAAGCGUGGGGAGCAAACAGGGAUUAGAUACC
rnacentral:rRNA from 1 species